CCAAGAGAUUGGGCUUCCCCUUCGGGGGCAAAGUGACAGGUGGUGCAUGGUUGUCGUCAGCUCGUGUCGUGAGAUGUUGGGUUAAGUCCCGCAACGAGCGCAACCCUUGAUCUUAGUUGCCAGCAUUAAGUUGGGCACUCUAAGGUGACUGCCGGUGACAAACCGGAGGAAGGUGGGGAUGACGUCAAAUCAUCAUGCCCCUUAUGACCUGGGCUACACACGUGCUACAAUGGAUGGUACAAAGGGCAGCGAAAC
rnacentral:rRNA from 1 species